rnacentral:tRNA from 1 species
GGCACCAUGGCUUAGCUCGCUAAAACACCUGCUUUAUAAACAGGAGAUCCUGGGUUCAAAUCCCAGUGUUGCCU